rnacentral:rRNA from 1 species
CCUAUGGGAGGCAGCAGUGAGGAAUAUUGGUCAAUGGGCGCGAGCCUGAACCAGCCAAGUCGCGUGAAGGAUGACUGCCCUACGGGUUGUAAACUUCUUUUAUCAAGGAAUAAAGUGAGGCACGUGUGCCUUUUUGUAUGUACUUUAUGAAUAAGCAUCGGCUAACUCCGUGCCAGCAGCCGCGGUAAUACGGAGGAUCCGAGCGUUAUCCGGAUUUAUUGGGUUUAAAGGGAGUGUAGGUGGGUUGUUAAGUCAGUUGUGAAAGUUUGCGGCUCAACCGUAAAAUUGCAAUUGAUACUGGUAGUCUUGAGUACAGUUGAGGUAGGCGGAAUUCGUGGUGUAGCGGUGAAAUGCUUAGAUAUCACGAAGAACUCCGAUUGCGAAGGCAGCAUACUAAACUGCCACUGACAUUGAUGCUCAAAAGUGUGGGUAUCAAACAGGAUUAGAUACCCUUGUAGUC